AUGCUUCUAAGCGUCGCCCAAGGAAGGGGCCGCGACCGAUCAGGUUGUUGGUGAGGUAACGGCUCACCAAGCCUUUAACCGGUACGGGCCGUGAGAGCGGAAGCCCGGAGAUGGGCACUGAGACAAGGGCCCAGGCCCUACGGGGCGCAGCAGUCGCGAAAACUCCGCAAUACACGAAAGUGUGACGGGGCCAUCCCGAGUGCCAUCCGCUGAGGAUGGCUUUUCCCCAGUGUAUAAAGCUGGGGGAAUAAGGAGAGGGCAAGCCUGGUGUCAGCCGACGCGGUAAUACCAGCUCUCCGAGUGGUGGGGAUGCUUAUUGGGCCUAAAGCAUUCGUAGCCUGCUUGGCAAGUCCUCCAGUCUAUCCAACGAUUCAAUCGUUGGGCUGCGGGGGAUACUGUCCGGCUAGGGGGCGGGAGAGGC
rnacentral:rRNA from 1 species